GAAAUGCGAUAACUAAUGUGAAUUGCAGAAUUCAGUGAAUCAUCGAAUCUUUGAACGCACAUUGCGCCCCUCGGUACCCCGGGGGGCAUGCCUGUUCGAGCGUCAUUGCAUCCUUCAAGCGCAGCUUGGUCUUGGGUUUUCGCCCCCUAAAAAGGGCGUACCUCAAAAGUAGUGGCGGUCCGGAGCGUCUUACGAACGAAGUAAAUAUCAUCCGUUCAGAAAGUGCGCUCCCGUGACCGGCCAUAACCCGAUUUUUUAAUUCAACGGUUGACCUCGGAUCAGGUAGGGAUACCCGCUGAACUUAA
rnacentral:misc_RNA from 1 species